UUUUGAAGUCAGAUUAUCAGCACUAUCAGAGGCAAGCAACUCUCACUAAACAAAAGUGAGCCUUUAAUUUAUUUUGAAUUAGUUCUCUUUCUUUUUUAUUGCAAAGUGAGUCCAAUGUUGGAUCAUUAGAACAAUUUCAGGGUUUAAAUUAUUCUAGUGUGAUAAUCUGAAUGUUUGAUCAUACCAAUUGUUUGCAUAUUUUUUUGUUUUCCUAUGAACUGAAUUCAGGUUCAAAAGUCUUCUAAGUUAAUUAGCAACAUAAUAAGCGACACUUUUUCUGUUUUGUUAUUUGGCUUCAGAAAUUGCCUUUCAAUCUGAAACAAGGUGUUUGGGUUAAAUCAUUAAGACGAUAUAGUUUAUGUUAUCAAGGAUGAUGCUUUCAUUAAUCAUCAGAAUUCUGUUCAACAGCUUUCAGUAAAGUUUUAGUA
rnacentral:lncRNA from 1 species